GAAAAUAUGAAUAGGAUAUGUGUGACC
rnacentral:sRNA from 1 species